rnacentral:rRNA from 1 species
UACAGAGGUCCCAAGCGUUGUUCGGAUUCACUGGGCGUAAAGGGUGCGUAGGUGGCGAGGUAAGUUUGAUGUGGAAUCUCCGGGCUUAACCCGGAAAUGGCAUUGAGUACUCUCUCGCUCGAGGGUUGGAGGGGGGACUGGAAUUCUCGGUGUAGCAGUGAAAUGCGUAGAUAUCGAGAGGAACACCAGUGGCGAAGGCGAGUCCCUGGACAGCUCCUGACACUGAGGCACGAAAGCUAGGGGAGCAAACAGG